rnacentral:rRNA from 1 species
GACGAACGCUGGCGGCGUGCUUAACACAUGCAAGUCGAACGGAAAGGCCCUGCUUUUGUGGGGUGCUCGAGUGGCGAACGGGUGAGUAACACGUGAGUAACCUGCCCUUGACUUUGUGAUAACUUCAGGAAACUGGGGCUCAUACCGGAUAGAAGCUCCUGCUGCAUGGUGGGGGUUGGAAAGUUUCGGCGGUUGGGGAUGGACUCGGGCCGUAUUAGCUAGUUGGUGAGGUAGUGGCUUACCAAGGCUACGACGGGUAGCCGGCCUGUGAGGGUGAUCGGCCACACUGGAACGGAGACACGGUCAAGACUCCUACGGGAGGCAGCAGUAGGGAAUCUUACGCAAUGGGCGAAAGCCUGACGGAGCAACGCCGAGUGAGUGAUGAAGGUCUUCGGAUCGUAAAACUCUGUUAUUAGGGAAGAACAAAUGUGUAAGUAACUAUGCACGUAUUGACGGUACCUAAUAAGAAAGCCACGGCUAACUACGUG